rnacentral:rRNA from 1 species
AUACUCCUCGAUGACCGAUAGUGAACAAGUAGGGCGAUUGAACGAUGAAAAGCACAGCUACUAGCUGAGUUAAAAGUACCUGAAACCAUACACUUACAAGCGGUCGGAGCCCUAUGCCCGCAAGGGAAUUGGGUGACGGCGUACCUUUUGCAUAAUGGACCGGCGAGUGCAUGUCUACGGCAAGGCUAAGGUGUCAAGCACCGGAGCCGUAGCGAAAGCGAGUCUUAAGAUGGCGUCUUAAGUCGCGGGCAUAUGGCCCGAAACCCCGUGAUCUACCCAUGAGCAGGUUGCAUGUCCCGUAAAAGGGACAGAAGGACCGAAGCCGUGAACGUUGAAAAGUUCUGGCAUGACCUGUGGGGAGGAGUGAAAGUCUAAUCAAACGGGGAGAUAUCUGGUUCUCUUCGAAAUGCCUUUAGGGGCAGCCUGGAGCAACUACUCGAUGGGGGUAGAGCUACUGAAAGGAGACGUGGGGCUACCCGCCUACACGCUCCUACCAAACUCCGAAUACCAUAGAGACUAUCUCGGGAGUGAGUCCGCGAGGGAUAAUCUUCGCGGUCAAAAGGGAAACAACCCAGAUCGCCUGCUAAGGUCCCAAAAUUCAGCUUAGUUCGGAAGGAAGUUAUUGUUCUGAGACAGCCAGGAUGUUGGCUUAGAAGCAGCCACCAUUUAAAAAGUGCGUAAAAGCUUACUGGCCGAGAAGUAGAGCGCCGUAAAUGAUCGGGAAUAAGUAAUACACCGAAGACGCGGGUUCUCAACUUCGCAAGAAGUUAGAGCGGUAGAGGAGCGUAGUUAACCGCAUUGAAGAUUGACCGGAAGGACAGUUGGAGCGUUAACUAGUGCGUAUGUCGGCAUGAGUAACGAUAAUGCGGGUGAAAAUCCCGCACGCCGUAAGUCUGAGGUUUCCUGGGGAAGGUAAAUCCGCCCAGGGUUAGUCGGGUCCUUAGGUGAGGCCGAAAGGCGUAGUCGAUGGACAGCAGGUUAAUAUUCCUGCACCGCUUGUGAAACGCAGCCAUGUGACGCUGUUGUAGAGCUGGUCCUCCGGUUAGACGUGGAGGUCCCGCAAGGGCUAGGCCGCUUUGAUGCCAAAGCCAGCAACGUGACAGCCGAGAAAAACCAUGGUGGCAUAGCAAGUGCCCGUACCACAAACUGACACAGGUAGACGAGGCGAAUAGCCUCAGGCGCUCGAGACAACUCCCUUUAAGGAACUAGGCAAUUUUCCCCCGUACGUUCGCAAUAAGGGGUGCCCCACGCAAGUGGGGCCGCAGAGAAAAGGGUCUGGCAACUGUUUAUCAAAAACACAGGUCUGUGCUAAAGCGCAAGCUUACGUAUACAGACUGACGCCUGCCCGCUGUCGGUAGGUUAAGAAAGCCGGUCAACCGCAAGGUGCAGCUGGCGAUUGAAGCCCCGAUAAAAGGCGGCCGUAACUAUGACGGUCCUAAGGUAGCGAAGUUCCUUGUCAGGUAAGUUCUGACGCGCAUGAAUGGCGUAAUGACUGGACCAGUGUCUCAAAGGGAGACUCGGUGAAAUUGGAGUUGUGGUGAAGAUACCACAGUCCCGCGGCAAGACGGAAAGACCCCAUGAACCUUUACUGUAGCCUGAUAGUGAUUUCAGUUGUUGUAUGCGUAGCAUAGGUGGGAGGCGUUGAUCUCAAGGUUUCGGCCUUGAGGGAGUCGCAAUGUGAAAUACCACCCUUAUUACAUUUGGAAUCUAACCCCGAACCGUGAAUCCGGUCGGGAGACACUGUUAGGUGGGCAGUUUGACUGGGGCGGUCUCCUCCUAAA